GAGGCCAUUAACAGUUACUUUUACUGGACUUAACUUUCCGGACACUUACAGCCAGUUGGAUUUCACUCAGAUUGGAUCGUGUAUAAACACUGCUGGACUCAACAACACAUGGGGAUUCUUGGUCUGUUUUAAGGGUGGCUUACAGACAUGAAAUAUCCCAGGUUUCCAUAGUGACCUACCACCCUCUUUCCUGCAGAUCUCUAUGAGAGAAACUGGGCAAGACAGCAGCAACUUCUGCAAAGUACAAGCAUUGCCCCAUACUUGGUGGCUCUGUAUUCUGUCCUAUAAUGUAUUUAUAGCACUAGUAUUUUAGGAAAAUAACUACAAGAAUGAAAUAAAUAUAUCAGAGCUUUCCACUCA